rnacentral:lncRNA from 1 species
CUAGAGGCGAAGUCUGCGGACUUAGGCGGUUUUACAUAAGCGCUAGCGAGCACCGGAAGAAGCAAGCUGGUAAGCAAUUGAAAUGCGGAAUUUGUGCCUGGGUUUACUUGCAGAGUCAGCGGGUUUUCAAAGAUUCACUGAUCCACAGUUAAGCCAUGAUUCUUCUGAGGCCUUUCACUCUCAUCCCUGCCAGCGCUGACCUCACGAGGAGCAUGAGGUGAAGGGUGGGUGUUAAGCAGGAUCGUUUUAUCAUCUUCUUCAAACACAGGGGAAAUUGCGGCUUUUGAAACGCAAGUUGGAUGCUGAGAAGUGAUGGCUGUGUAUGUCAACAAGCAAGGGAGGUGACCGCCAUUUCUCCUCCCCCUCAAGGGUUGUUUGCCCUUGUACCCAUGAGAGAUGGCUUCUGCUUUAGCUCUUUGCGCAACACCUCCUAGUCACUGAAUGCUUAAAGGAAACAUUUAGCUACUGAUGCACAUAAGCUGGUUGCAUAAUAGGAGAGAAAUGAGCCAGGACUGGAGACCUCAUCUCCACGGAAGCAUUGUAAGGCAAGGGCUGUUUCACAGUGCUGGCCAUGACUUGGGACUCCCUCUAUACCCUUUCAUCGCCAUGACAACAGGCAGCUCGUACUUCACAAAGCCAGAAAAAGCAGCUGACAUCUCAAUGCUAGGAACAUAGAAGAGAGGUUUACAAAAAAACACAACAACCACCACCAAAAAGCCUUUUUGUUUGCCUGUCAACAGAGAGAACACCCCCCCAGAGGCGACUGCAAAGCCAGGGUUAAAGACAGAAGGACCAUUGCAGCAGAUGCAUUUUUAUAUUGCUAGAUUGGAAGCUGUCCUCAUGACCGCAUCUGAACGUUAACAGAGAACCGUUCCGGCUGCUUUAACCGUCCAUAAGCAGCUCUGGAAAUUGAAGUUGCUGCUCUUUAGAGCAUGCUGAUGUAGAGAAGCUGUGAUUCACAGCCUGCUCUUCCCCAGCCCAGUCAGUCAUCCUCUGUAAGCCCAUGAUGGCACCGUGCUGUGCGAGACGAGGUCUUCCUGGGGAACAGACUGCAGGUGUGCUUAUUUCUGACUUUGCACUGUGGCAUUCAUUUAUGGAGGCAUGUAAAUAUUUAUUUAUUUACCUGGCCCCGGACUAAUCUGGAACCCACAGAGAUCUGUCUGCCUCUGCCUCCUGGGCGCUAAGUUUAAAGGAGCGGCAGUAGGACUGAUUCUGCUUCUGUAUGUCUGUGUGUAAUCAUUUCAAUGGCUGUGUCUGUAUUUAUUGCACAUUUAUUGUGUGUCGGACCCUGCGCUAACAGCUUUCUAUAUAUCGUGUCAGUUGAGUCUGACAAGUCUUUGGAGGUUUUACUAUGUUCCCAUUUUAAAGAUAGUUUAGAGUAAAGUUUAGAGUACAGGAUUUAAGACCAGGCAGCUUGGAUUUUCUUCUUGACUUUCCCACACCCUAACUGUACACCCAGGAACUAGUUAUAACCUCUCUCAGCAUCUGCUUUCUUAUUUAUAAAAUGAGGCUACAGAUAUGGGAGUGAUUAUAGGGUCCAUCACAGGCAAUUGUUCUGAGUUUCAAUAAUUUGAUGAAAACAAACUGCGUAAAACUCCUACCAUGUGGUAGACACUCAACAAAUGUUAACGGUUUUGCUUUAUGUCAGAGGACAGCAAGGCUAAGUGCUUUCUCCCGGUGGGUCUCUAACUGUAAUAGCAAAGUGGUACUCUCCUUGCCUCCCGCCUGUGCUAGCCAACGGAGCAGGCAUUCCCCCGAGGAGGAGAUGAUGCUCCUCUCUUCUCCAGGUGACUAGCCCAAAUGCUUCUGAUACUAUACACUCUCCACUAACAUUGGAUGAGAAGCUGUUAUUUAACGUAAUUUAGGCUUUCUGAGUGUGUGAAAAAGUCAACAGGCAACCAGACUGAUAAAAGCAAAAGCCAAGAUGAAGCAAAUAAAACCCUGAGCUAUAAAAGUUUGCAGACGUGCCUCAGCCAGUUCUCUCUAUGGACCCCAGAACAUUUGUCUUACUUAUUUUCAGAACACCGAAAGAGAAAGGUAACAACUUACCUCUGUUGUGCAGCGGGAGGUCUGGGAGCAGAGGAAGCCGGGCAGUUAGCCAGAGCCCUUCCAGCUGGGAAGGGCGCACGCAUGCACGUGUCUGGGAUCAGGAUUGCAGAAAGGGCUGAGGAUGUGACGUUUGAUGCCUCCGACAAUGGGAUGCUUCUUCCUCAGCUCAGGUCUGGAGUGUGAGCGGCUCCUCUGAGGAAAGUAUAAGGGUUUGUUUCUUCCAUGGCUUCUUACACCUCUCCACGCUUUCUCUGGUCUUAGCAGCACAGAGGACACUGGUGCCAUUCUGCAAUGGUGUCCCGAGGGAUCAUGGAGACCAGCCAGGCCAUAUAGAAAAGGAUUUGACUUUUUUGGUUAAAGGAUUUUCUCAAAGACAAACAUUAACUUAUUUUAACUAGCAUUCUCCAUUUAUUUGAGACGGCUUUAUGAGUUUGAUUCCAGGCAAUGAGAUUAAUUCCGUGAGAAUAAAGAGAAUGAUUUAGUUGAGGAGUGCUAAAACAUCUUGACCAACUCAAAUUUUUUUCUAAUACUGAAUUUGACAUAUUUGUUGGAAUGCUGAAAAUGAAGUUCCUUGAAUACAGAUUGUUCACGGAAAACCGGAAUGAAGGUUUAAAUGUAAUUUUAUGUCUGGUGAGAGCAGGUCUCACAUCUAAGAUUGGGGAUUUUCACUCAGUUGUAUGACUAGAGAGAUCUCCUGUUCAGAGAUGAGAACUUCAGGGCAGUGCAAUAUAUAAUGGCAAACUCACACACAGGAGGUAAGAGAAUACUGACU